rnacentral:lncRNA from 1 species
GGUAAUGAAAAUAAGAGCAAGCCUAUGGUGUUUGGCAUACAUUGAUUGGAACUUCAUUCUGAGAGUAAGUGUCUUUAGAUUGUCCCCAUGGUUACAUAUGUGAUGUCUGAUAUAAUUGGAGUGGGAAUUUUUUAUAGUGAGGGCACACUGGUUACGUUGCUAGUUGCUAACUUGUUUGUAUAGUGUAAUCUUGGUUCAUGCAUGGUGGUUGUUGUUGAAUUGAUGUCAUAUCUUGAUUCCUGUGUGUUGCAUUGUUGCUCUUCAAUAAUAUGCACAAAUGUCGUUUUUAAAUUAAUUGACCUUGG